rnacentral:rRNA from 2 species
UGGGGAAUAUUGCGCAAUGGGGGGAACCCUGACGCAGCAACGCCGCGUGAAGGAUGAAGGUUUUCGGAUUGUAAACUUCUUUGAUGAGGGACGAAAGAAAUGACGGUACCUCAAAAACAAGCCACGGCUAACUACGUGCCAGCAGCCGCGGUAAUACGUAGGUGGCGAGCGUUGUCCGGAAUUACUGGGUGUAAAGGGCGUGUAGGCGGGAGCACAAGUCAGAUGUGAAAUACCGGGGCUUAACCCCGGGGCUGCAUCUGAAACUGUGAUUCUUGAGUGUCGGAGAGGAAAGUGGAAUUCCCAGUGUAGCGGUGAAAUGCGUAGAUAUUGGGAGGAACACCAGUGGCGAAGGCGACUUUCUGGACGAUAACUGACGCUGAGGCGCGAAAGCGUGGGGAGCAAACAGG